GCCACAUCACAUUAAAACAUUGGUUCCCAUAUGAUCACUGAAGUUAAGCAAUAUUAAGCCUGCUCAGUACCUAGAUGGGUGACUUCUUUGGAAUGCCAAGUGCUGUAA